GGUCCCGCCUGCCCAGUGACUCUUUUAACGGCCGCGGUAUCCUAACCGUGCAAAGGUAGCAUAAUCACUUGUCCCCUAAAUCGGGACUAGAAUGAACGGCUAAAUGAGGACUAAACUGUCUCUUACAGAUUGGCCAAUGAAAUUGAUUUCCCAGUACAAAAGCUGGAAUAUACCCAUAAGACGAGAAGACCCUGUGGAGCUUCAAAACCAAACCACUUAGUAUGUCCCUUGGUUUUUUAGUUGGGGCGACUUCGGAAUACAACAAAACUUCCAAAAUAAAAUUAACUCAUUAAGGUUAACACACCAAAAUCUCCACACAGACCCAGCAAUUAAUUUGUCUGACCAAUGAACCAAGUUACCCCAGGGAUAACAGCGCAAUCUCCUUUUAGAGUCCAUAUCGACAAGGGG
rnacentral:rRNA from 1 species